rnacentral:rRNA from 1 species
GUGCCAGCCGCCGCGGUAAAACGUAGGAGCCAAGCGUUAUCCGAAUUCACUGGGCGUAAAGCGCGUGCAGGCGGUCUGAGAAGUUGGAUGUAAAAUCUCCCGGCUCAACUGGGAGGGGACGUUCAAAACUGACAGACUGGAGGGCAGUAGAGGGAGGUGGAAUUCCCGGUGUAGUGGUGAAAUGCGUAGAUAUCGGGAGGAACACCAGUGGCGAAAGCGGCCUCCUGGACUGUACCUGACGCUGAGAUGCGAAAGCUAGGGGAGCAAACGGGAUUAGAUACCCCCGUAGUCC